rnacentral:ncRNA from 1 species
GAAAGCCGUAUGCUUUGGAAGAAGCUUGUACAGUUUGGGAAGGGGUUCUUUUAGCAGCCCCGGCUGAGUAUUUUAUGUACCGCGAACGGCAUACUUUAAU